CACGUAAUAGGUGUUAUUUGAAGGGCAAGAGAGACGGCCUUAAGAGAACUGAAUAAAGUGCAAAAUCACAAUACUAUAUAGUUUUAACUUUGUCAAUAUUUCGGUAUCCAAAAAGAAAGCAUCCAAUUACAUCAACAACUUCAAAGUUUUAACCAAAAUAAUUGACGGCGUCUUCAAAGUCUCUCUUCACCAUCAACAUGGGUCUUGACUCAACUCCAUGCACCAGCACGUUCCAGCUAAGGCCUAAAAGGGAGGGAAAAAAAAUCUGGGAUGAGGAAUAUAAUUUUAUAUCAUUGCAGCAAAAAUUGAAGGCUUAAGGGACAAAAACCAAAAAAGGCCCCCUACAGUUUUCCAAAAAAAUCAAUUAAACCCCUAGACGUUAGAGUUAUAAUAAAUUAAGCCCUUUAUUAGAGUUAUAUUCUUAAGUAAUAUUUUGUCCACUCUCUUACUGAUUUCAACAAGCUAAUAGCUCACUUAGUAAUAACAUUCACUAUCUCAAAUCAAAUUCAGUCUAUUGGAUAAAUCUAUUUUCACUUAGUAAUAUUUAUAUUUUCUGCACUUUCACCUUGCUUCUUAUCAUAUGCAUGUUGCAAAAAUUUCUGUUCAGUAAGAUGAGGAAACCUUGUAAACCAGUAAAACAAGAUGUUGCAAGAAGACAGAAAGGAAGACUAAAAGGAACAAGUGCGGUGAUGAAGGUUGUACGUUCCCGGGGCCAGUUAAAUCUUCACUUGCCUACAAGUAAUGACCUCGCUCUGAUAUUUUAGGCAGAAACAUUGUCAUAGUCUACCAACUUCCUAAGUACUUCAUCGGGAAUUUAAGCCUUUGUUUAGAUCAGGAUAUUUUAUUUUCUUUUUGGAACACAAAACUAGAAGCAACUAUUGGGGGUAAGGCAAAGCCAGAACUUGAGUUCUAGUUCUCUAAAGGUGCUAGGAGCCUCGUACCCAUUUAAAACAACAAAUAGAGCACGGCGCAUAGUCCUAAUAAAACUGAGUCUUGGAAAAAGGAAGACAUUUUCACACAAUGCAAAUACGACGCCUGAUUCAUCUACUCUGUACCUUAGCAUUACUCAAGUUUUAUACAGGAAGUUCCAGGCUCACUAUCAACUUCUUAGUGACAACAAGAGCAAACAAAAUGCAAUGACAAGCAGUUUUGGCAAAUGAAAAAUCCGUCAAUUUACAAGGAUAGGAAUAAUUAAGAUGUGGUAGUGAUGUGAAGGGGGCACUAACCUUCAUUUAGAGCAAACCAAAUGUCAUGGCAAGCAGCAUUGGCAAAUGAAUAAUUAUGAUGUAGACAUGUAGUAGUGAUAUGAAGGGGGCUCUAACCUUCAUUCAGAACAAAAAUAUAUCACAAAUAUCUUUGGAUCAAUAUGGAACAGUGAUGGCAGAUUGAUGCUCUGCAGCUGCAUGAAUCCCUCCCCGCUCGUUGCACCACAUAUUAAACCUUAUGUACUCAAAACUCAUAUCGAUAUGGU
rnacentral:lncRNA from 1 species